GCCAAAUACUCUACUUCUGUACUUCCUCUUUGCAAUCCCAUAAAAACCUCCCUCCAUGGGCCUUCAAGGCCUAACAUUUUUUCUUGAGGUCUGUGCCCAUUGACCAUAAAUAAAUCUGCCUCCAAAGCCUGGGUGUUGCUUUCGUGUUUCUGUUUGCUGUUGUGUCUGGUGCAUUGGCCAGGAAGAACUGACCAUGCUCACCUCUUUGGUCACCAGUCAUGGCCCUCACAGAUGGAGCAAGGUCCUCUCCAGGUCCUGACAGAAAGACACACUCUCAAGAUUUCUUGAGUCCUCUUGGAGGUCUGGAGGAGGAUACUUGGCUCCACGCUAAGUGGCUCACAUCAGACCCAAAUGGGAAGAGGAUGCAGUCUGAUCUGGUCAUCGGAUAAGGGAUUCGAUAUUGUCAUAGUUGUAAGCAUUAUGAUGGAUAUAAAUGCCGGGGGGGCAUGAAUACCUGCUGGAAGUUUAAUUUGUGGCUGGAAAACAAGAGUUGUUCCACAGAAAAUUUUUACUUUAGUGAUGUCAAUACAGGGAGAUACCUGUUUCGUUAUACAGUUCUGUCUUGCAAACCUUGUGUGGGAGGAGUAGCCCAAGUAUACCACGACCUUAUGAAAGAAGUAUUUUGCUGCACUAAUGACGAUUACUGUAAUGAUGGCAGUGCUAACCUUGAUAUAGGACAUAUAUCAUUGGAAGAAGCAGAGAAAACACACUAAUAAACUAGUUAAGAUUUUAAAAUCAUGUCUCAGGGUG